UGAUACGUGUGAACGUCUUCAAUUUACUCUAAAGCCUGAUCGGUAUAUAUUACUAAUAUUUACUCUGGAACCCCUUCCUUGCUUUGGGCCCUGCUACAUGAACCAACGUGGGAAUGGAGCUGGAAUUCAUAAUCCUUAUGUAACACCAAACUUAAAACUGCAGCUCAGGGCUUCCCUGGUGGCGCAGUGGUUGAGAAUCUGCCUGCCAAUGCAGGGGACAUGGGUUCGAGCCCGGGUCUGGGAAGAUCCCACAUGCCGCGGAGCAACUGGGUCCGUGAGCCACAACUACUGAGCCUGCGCGUCUGGAUCCUGUGCUCCGUCACAAGAGAGGCCACGACAGUGAGAGGCCCAUGCACCGCGAUGAAGAGUGGCCCCCGCUCGCCAAAACUAGAGAAAGCCCUCGCACAGAAACGAAGACCCAACACAGCCAAAAAUAAAUUAAUUAAUUAAUUAAAAAACAAAAAACAAAAAAAAAA